rnacentral:rRNA from 1 species
GGACUCAACGCCGGACAUCUUACCAGCACCGACAAUGUGCAGUGAAGGUCAGUCUGAUGCGCUUACUGGAGCCAUUGAGAGGAGGUGCAUGGCCGCCGUCAGCUCGUACCGUGAGGCAUCCUGUUAAGUCAGGCAACGAGCGAGAUCCGCACCCUUAGUUGCCAGCAGCAUCUUGCGAUGGCUGGGUACACUAGGGGGACUGCCGCUGCUAAAGCGGAGGAAGGAACGGGCAACGGUAGGUCAGUAUGCCCCGAAUGUGCUGGGCUACACGCGGGCUACAAUGGCCAAGACAGUGGGACGCCAUUCCGAGAGGAAGCGCUAAUCCCCUAAACCUGGUCGUAGUUCGGAUUGAGGGCUGAAACUCGCCCUCAUGAAGCUGGAUUCGGUAGUAAUCGCGUGUCAGAAGCGCGCGGUGAAUACGUCCCUGCUCCUUGCACACACCGCCCGUCAAAUCACCCGAGUAGGGUCCGGAUGAGGCCAUCAUACGAUGGUCAAAUCUGGGCUCUGCAAGGGGGAUUAAGUCGUAACAAGGUAGCCGUAGGGGAAUCUGCGGCUGGAUCACCUCCUAA